UAACAUGUCCUUGGUCCAGCAACCUAAAAU
rnacentral:piRNA from 1 species